UUUAUUUUUUAGUUUUACCUUGUUUUAUUGUAAAGGGGGAUAUUCUACGUAUUAUCCUGAAAGAAUAGGCAGGUAGCUUUAAAACUCUCUCUUGUGUGUCAGUCAGAAACCGGCUCCGCCGGAGUGCAUUUCGUACUCGCUUCAUUUGUCUAUAUUUACGAGACAGUGUCGGUGGGAGCAAAAUUCAACGGUGUGUCGGAUUGUAAAUCCGUAAAAUGGAGAGGAAUCCUGAAGUACUCUGCUUCCCCGCUUCUUCGAAGAUGUUCCGUCCACCGCAAAAAUAUUGGGACUGGAUGAGGAAAUUCGAUGAGGAAAAUAAUUCGAAACAGCAAGGUCCUGUUGCAGGCAAUGUCAAGUGGGGUCGGAAUUGAUACCGAAAAAUUUAAAAUUUACUGCAUCUAUCUCGCCAAACGAUAUACUGAAUUGUAUUCUUGGUACCCAAUGCCGACCUCAGUACAUGUCAUACUUAUUCGUGGUCACGCCAUAAUCGAAGCUUUGCCAUUACCUAUUGAAAGAUUAUCUGAAGAUGCGCAGGAAGCCAGAAACAAAGACAUCAGACGUUAUCGUGAAUACUUUUCUCGUAAGUAUUCACGAGAAUAGACAAUGGAAGAUGUUUUUCACCGGCUACUCGCAUCUUCGGAUCCCUUCAUCUCCAGUUUGCAAAAUUAUGAAAGCAAAGUGAGCAAACCAUUUCCGCCUGAAGUUCGAGAUUUAUUUGUUCAAACAUCUGCGAAAUUUCAUGUUGCAAAAGAAAGUGACAGUGAACGUUCUGAUAACGAUGAAUGCGAGUUGUAUUACGAUUUUUAAUGUCAUGUACUUUUUAAAAACUGUCUUGAUAUGUAUGUAAUACACAAUACACAAUAAAAACUUUUUAUGUAUUAA
rnacentral:lncRNA from 1 species